rnacentral:rRNA from 1 species
AUUGAACGCUGGCGGCAGGCCUAACACAUGCAAGUCGAGCGGAUGAAGGGAGCUUGCUCCUGGAUUCAGCGGCGGACGGGUGAGUAAUGCCUAGGAAUCUGCCUGGUAGUGGGGGAUAACGUCCGGAAACGGGCGCUAAUACCGCAUACGUCCUUAGGGAGAAAGUGGGGGAUCUUCGGACCUCACGCUAUCAGAUGAGCCUAGGUCGGAUUAGCUAGUUGGUGGGGUAAAGGCCUACCAAGGCGACGAUCCGUAACUGGUCUGAGAGGAUGAUCAGUCACAAUGGAAGUGAGACACGGUCCAGGCUACUACGGGAGGCAGCAGUAGGGAAUGUUCGGCAAAGGGCGGAAGCCUGAAGGAGCAACGCCGCGUGAGUGAUGAAGGUCUUCGGAUCGUAAAGCUCUGUUAUUAGGGAAGAACAAAUGUGUAAGGAACUAUGCACGUCUUGACGGUACCUAAUCAGAAAGCCACGGCUAACUACGUG